rnacentral:rRNA from 1 species
GAUGAACGCUGGCGGCGUGCCUAAUACAUGCAAGUCGAGCGAACAGACGAGGAGCUUGCUCCUCUGACGUUAGCGGCGGACGGGUGAGUAACACGUGGAUAACCUACCUAUAAGACUGGGAUAACUUCGGGAAACCGGAGCUAAUACCGGAUAAUAUAUUGAACCGCAUGGUUCAAUAGUGAAAGACGGUUUUGCUGUCACUUAUAGAUGGAUCCGCGCCGCAUUAGCUAGUUGGUAAGGUAACGGCUUACCAAGGCAACGAUGCGUAGCCGACCUGAGAGGGCGAUCGGCCACACUGGAACUGAGACACGGUCCAGACUCCUACGGGAGGCAGCAGUAGGGAAUCUUCCGCAAUGGGCGAAAGCCUGACGGAGCCACGCCGCGUGAGUGAUGAAGGUCUUCGGAUCGUAAAACUCUGUUAUUAGGGAAGAACAAAUGUGUAAGUAACUAUGCACGUCUUGACGGUACCUAAUCAGAAAGCCACGGCUAACUACGUG